rnacentral:sRNA from 1 species
UAACAUUACUCCUCGACCUCAUUGGGGUCACU